UAAAGAAUAAAUGUCACCACAAAAAUCCAGUAUUCUCUUUUUUAUUUUUUUCUUAGGUGGAAGAAUGGCAAACAUAGAAGAUGUUAUGGACGAAAUACAAGAACAGAAUGAAGGUGACAGAUUGGAAGAUAUUGAAGAGGUCAUUGAGGAA